GAGCUGCCUUGCGACGGCGCGGACAAAGCGCUCUUCGCGGCCUCCACCAGCGUUGCGAUCGGCGACGGGGCUCGGGCCUCCUUCUGGCUCUCUCCAUGGAUCGGCCAGGGCUGCCUCUCGCAGCAAUUCCCAAGGCUGUUCAGCUACUCGCGCCGCAAGAAUAGAUCGGUGCGGGAGGCCCUCAGUGACGACACGUGGAUCCGCGACCUAGCCCACGACAACAACCGCCAUCUCCUGCCGGACGUCCUCGCCCUUCAUCGCCUGCUCCAGGGGACGGACACGCAGCUGCAGCCAGGAGUGCCGGAUGACCUGACGUGGAGUAGAGCCAGCUCAGGAAAGUACACAGCGAAAUCGGCGUACCUGGCGCAGUUCCAGGGUAGAACGGCGACCCAUUUUGACCGUCUGGUUUGGAAGGCCUGGGCGCCGGGAAAAAUCAAAAUCUUUGCCUGGUUGCUCCUCGGGAUCGGCUCUGGUGCAAUGACAGACUCCAGCGGCGGGGCUGGACAAACGCUUACUUCUGCCAACUCUGCGUCAGAAACCUGGAGUCGUCGCGCCACCUCUUUUGGAGCUGCCACGAAGCCGGACGAGUGUGGGCCGAGCUGGGACUGUGGCAUGGCUGCUCGGCUCUCACCCUGGCCGAGAGCUGGCGCCAUGACAGCACCACCGCGAUCGUGCAAGGCAUCCUGGAGCAGACCCCACACCAAUGGCGAAAGGGAGUGCAGACGCUGUGCUGGCUUGCUUGCUGGGAGAUUUGGCAGGAGAGAAACCACAGCACCUUCAGGCAGCAUCUGCCGUGCGUGGCAGGAAUCAUCAAGCGCAUAA
rnacentral:rRNA from 1 species